AGAGUUUGAUCCUGGCUCAGAUUGAACGCUGGCGGUAUGCUUAACACAUGCAAGUCGAACGGAAACGAUGGUAGCUUGCUACCAGGCGUCGAGUGGCGGACGGGUGAGUAACGCGUAGGAAUCUGCCUGAUAGUGGGGGAUAGCCCAGAGAAAUCUGGAUUAAUACCGCAUAAUCUCUAUGGAGUAAAGGAGCCCUCUUCUUGAAAGGUUUCGCUAUCAGAUGAGCCUGCGUAAGAUUAGCUUGUUGGUGAGGUAAAAGCUCACCAAGGCGACGAUCUUUAGCUGGUCUGAGAGGAUGAUCAGCCACACUGGAACUGAGACACGGUCCAGACUCCUACGGGAGGCAGCAGUGGGGAAUAUUGGACAAUGGGCGCAAGCCUGAUCCAGCAAUACCGCGUGUGUGAAGAAGGCCUGAGGGUUGUAAAGC
rnacentral:rRNA from 1 species